rnacentral:rRNA from 1 species
AGUGAACGCUGGCGGUAGGCCUAACACAUGCAAGUCGAACGGCAGCACAGUAAGAGCUUGCUCUUACGGGUGGCGAGUGGCGGACGGGUGAGGAAUACAUCGGAAUCUACUUUUUCGUGGGGGCUAACGUAGGGAAACUUACGCUAAUACCGCAUACGACCUACGGGUGAAAGCAGGGGAUCUUCGGACCUUUCGCGAUUGAAUGAGCCGAUGUCGGAUUAGCUAGUUGGCGGGGUAGAGGCCCACCAAGGCGACGAUCCGUAGCUGGUCUGAGAGGAUGAACAGCCACACUGGAACUGAGACACGGUCCAGACUCCUACGGGAGGCAGCAGUGGGGAAUAUUGGGCAAUGGACGCAAGCCUGAUCCAGCCAUACCGCGGGGGUGAAGAAGGCGUUCGGGUUGUAAAGCCCUUUUGUUGGGAAAGAAAAGCAGCAGGUUAAUACCCCGCUGUUCUGACGGUACCCAAAGAAUAAGCACCGGCUAACUUCGUG